ACGCACAGCGAAAGGUGCUUGCACCUUUCAAGUGAGUGGCGAACGGGUGAGUAACACGUGGACAACCUGCCUCAAGGCUGGGGAUAACAUUUGGAAACAGAUGCUAAUACCGAAUAAAACUUAGUGUCGCAUGACAAAAAGUUAAAAGGCGCUUCGGCGUCACCUAGAGAUGGAUCCGCGGUGCAUUAGUUAGUUGGUGGGGUAAAGGCCUACCAAGACAAUGAUGCAUAGCCGAGUUGAGAGACUGAUCGGCCACAUUGGGACUGAGACACGGCCCAAACUCCUACGGGAGGCUGCAGUAGGGAAUCUUCCACAAUGGGCGAAAGCCUGAUGGAGCAACGCCGCGUGUGUGAUGAAGGCUUUCGGGUCGUAAAGCACUGUUGUAUGGGAAGAACAGCUAGAAUAGGAAAUGAUUUUAGUUUGACGGUACCAUACCAGAAAGGGACGGCUAAAUACGUGCCAGCAGCCGCGGUAAUACGUAUGUCCCGAGCGUUAUCCGGAUUUAUUGGGCGUAAAGCGAGCGCAGACGGUUUAUUAAGUCUGAUGUGAAAGCCCGGAGCUCAACUCCGGAAUGGCAUUGGAAACUGGUUAACUUGAGUGCAGUAGAGGUAAGUGGAACUCCAUGUGUAGCGGUGGAAUGC
rnacentral:rRNA from 1 species